AUUUUCUGCUUUAUGUCUAUACUUGAGUUACUUUUACCUUUGUUUGUUUCUCCUGCUUCAUCAAGCUACUUAAUCUGUUAAAAGCCCCACUUGUUUAAUUUGUUAAAGACUUAGGAAUAAAACACCUAAGCUAUGCUCGAUAAUUCUUCUAAGGAAUCAAUUAUACCGUUUUUCAUUUCUUGCCCCCGAGCCAAUCAAGGUUAGAAUUUUAGCAAGGGACUUAACUUCUAACUUAUGAACUUUUCCAAUUUCAUAAGGGCAUUCUUAUCUGCAGGCCUUUUCCGAACUGGAUCUGCCUUAAGGAUAAAAAUCUUUAAGCUACGUGUUUAAU
rnacentral:lncRNA from 1 species